UCUCAGUUCGGAUUGGAGUCUGCAACUCGACUCCAUGAAGCUGGAUUCGCUAGUAAUCGCGCAUCAGCCAUGGCGCGGUGAAUACGUUCCCGGGCCUUGUACACACCGCCCGUCAAGCCAUGGGAGUCGGGAGUGCCUGAAGUUCGUGACCGUAUAGGAGCGACCUAGGGCAAGACUGAUGACUGGGGCUAAGUCGUAACAAGGUAUC
rnacentral:rRNA from 1 species